ensembl:lncRNA
UCCCAAUUCUGCCCAUUAAGUACAGUUUGAUGAAUGGCUUUAUAUCUCCAGGCUCAGUUUCCCCCAGAAAAACAAAGAGACUGGACUAGCUGUCUCAGAGAAUCUUACAAGCUCUAACAGUUUCAGAACUCACUGUUACAAAACUCUCCAAAGUGGAGGUAUCAUUUACAGUUGGUGUGACCUAAGAUAAUAAAUAAUACCUUCCAACAGGAGAAGUACACUUUUGGACAGUCCCUCUUUUCUUCAUCUUUGCACAAAUACUUUUGAGUACUCGUAUGUGCCAGGGAGCCCAUUAGAUGUUGGGGAUAUAGCAAAAGAAAGGCAGGUAUGGAGCUUACCCUCAAGGAAUUAAAGACUGUUGGAGCCAAACAUUAAACCAACCAUUCAAAAUGUGAUAGACAAAGUGUGGUGUUUGGGGCACACAAUAGGAGACCUAACUUCAUCCAGAAUUGGCGAUGGCUUUCAAGAAGAAGUGGUGUUUAAACUGAGACCUAAAGGAUUUGAAAACCUUAGCAGGUUUCUUUUAAAAAGAAGGUCAAUCACUUGUGUUCCAGGAUAUUCCAGGCAUAGAAAGGAAUCUCCAUGAAGGCCAAAGGUUGGCAUAUCAAAAUUUUUGCUACAAUAGAGUAAGUGCCCAGCCUAUAGUUGGCCCUCGGAUUUUCUGAUUGAAUGAGUGACUUCAUGAAUAUAUAUUAAUUACUUAAUUAAAAUGUAAUCUUAAUUACAGUGCCAGGCAAUGAAUGCUUUUAAAAUCCUACAACCCAAUGCUGGGAACACUUCAGUUUUUCAAUAAAUUUCAUUUAACAAAUAGAUAUUGGUGUCUAUAAAAGCUAGUGGAGGGAGGAGGCAGAGCUUGAAACUGAUACUCACUGAACACUUCCUAUAUUCCUAGCAUUGUUCUAAUUUCUAAUAUGAUAACUCAUUAAGUUCUAAUAAUCAACAUCUAUAAAAUACCCAGGCACAGGGAAGCUCAGUAACUUCCCAAUGUUCACAAAGUUAUGAAAUGCUAAAGCUAGGAUUUAAAUGCUGGCAGUAUGCUCUUGGCUAUGACAUCAUGCUGAUCAUGUUGGAAAAGAAGACAAGUGAGAUCUCAUUCUUCAGCUCAGAAGAAUACCACAUCCUCAGAUAUUUUGACUCUAAAGACCACCUGGACCAGAUGCAUUGAGCCAGACGGUAAAGAAAAAUAUCAGCUAACAUUUUAAAAAUGUGCUUAUGUACCGGAUAUUAAGGAAAGGAAAUGGUUAGUUUGCAUAGUCUCACUUCAUUCCCAAAUUAACCCUAGAUAUAGGGGUUAUUAUUGUAAAUCCCACUGAAAUUGAGGUUCAGAGAGGGUGAGUAACUUGCCCACGCUCGCCCAGCAGAAGGGACAAGAUCUAACUAGUCCACGUGAGUAUAAGAGUCUAGCCACUCAACCGUUGUUAACGCUAAAGCCAGUGUAGACACAACCCUAAAUGGGACACCAUUGGAAACACGGCAGUGUGGCUCAGCGUUUCAUAUAUUUUUAAGGACUGAUGCUCACAGGAGAUCUUUGGCUGGGUCCAGACACAGCCUGGAGCCACGAAGGUGUCUGCCUUCACUGAUAAGUUCCUCCCAGCUCUUGUACAGACAGCCAAAUGCCUCACACCCUCCCCUGGCUCCUGGAGGAAUCACUUUCACACUCGAGGGAGGUGGAGAUGGUUCUUAUCUUGACACUUCAAAGAAAACCUUCCCCCUUGACAUCUUCCUGCCCUAAACAGUGCUGAUGUGGAAGCCGGGUGAUGAAGGGUUUGCCUCGUUCCUUUGAUCCUGGGGCAAGUUGGGUGACUCCUGCUCUUCCAGGCCUGAGGAAUGCUGGGCCCCACUGACUUUGCUUUUUGUUUCCUCUAAUAUUUACAGCUUCCAGUGGCUCCUGUGCUUAUUCAGUUUUGGACCAGAUCUCAAAAACGAAGAGAAGUAUGUAUCCAGUGGUAGAGUAUGGACUGGUUUCACCAGUGGGAGAGUUCGGAUGUUGCUCGAUGCUUCUUAAUACUCACGUUCCCAUCCAUUCUGCUUCUGCUCUAGCCAAUGGUUUGUAAUUUGGGUAUCAUGCAUCCCCAUGGUAAUCUAUUGAGAGC